AUUGGAAAGUAAUAAAAUAUUUAAACAAUUUAAAAAGAAUUGAAAAUUUAAGCCGAUGGUUAUUCUGCUGUUUUGGUUGAGGAAUGAAGUUUAUGAAUUCAGUUCUUAAAGUGUUUCGGACUCGGUCACUUUUAUUGCACCUAUGGUAUUUGCAAAAUAACGGAGAAGAGGACCUAUACCAACAGUUGGACGGAUCUAACAUUGUCAAUCAUAUAAUUGAUGAAGUGAUUGACGAAUUGAAAUGGACUACAUAUGUGUGGAUAUUUUAUAAUUGAAGUUUACUUACACACAUACAUACAUAUACACGUGCAUAUAUAAUUGUUUGCAUAUAUAUUUGGUAGUUAAUUGGUAUAUUCUUUAUAUUGUAAAGCACCGCUAUUUUGUAUGAAUAUCCUUUCAGUCGUUUUAACAGCAGAUAUUUUAUGAGCAUGUAAUUUCAAAUUCUAUUCAAGCUGAGUUUGUGCAUUUAAGGCGUGUUUUGCAGUGAAGAUUUUCUGGAAACUGUUUAACAAAGAAAAAGUGUGUGAACAGAAUUGUAACAUACGGCGCAAGCGAGGUCUCCAAAAUGAAGUCUAAUUGUGUGUGAAGCGAACUACUAGUAGCGACCUCUGUCGGCCAUUAGACGGGUGGACUGUCUUCAUGAUGUUUCGUCGUCCAAACACCGGGCACCAUUUGCGGCGGUAAAUUGGAGUUGGGUGCUGCCAGUUUCGUAAUACUGGUAAAUAUCGGAUUUUUGAGUGUCGGUCCCGUUGAGAAGCCUUUAUUAUCGAUGCCAUCCACUUGUGUAGCGGUCGCUCGAUUGCUGCCGCCAAGCGCUUUCUUACUUAUCGUACGCGGACUUGUUAUGAGGGAGGUUAAAACACCACCAAUAAUUGCGAGGGACGCGAAUGCUGUUUGUGGUACCAUAAUGCCAAAGAUCACAGUAGCGCCGAUAAAUGGUGCACCCAACAGCCAGAAACGUGCCCAACAUAUCGCCGAGAAUGCGGUAAUCUUGCGCUUAUCCUCACUUACUAGCUCAACGGUGCAGGUGGUGAGUAUGGAUAGUGUGGUGGAGAUGGCCACUUUCGAGAUCAUGGCCGAAAGCAUGAGCAGCGCAACGCGUGCAUCGAACGGUACUAAACGUUUGCGGAAGAAAAGAGGAAAUAUGAAAUUUAAACAGUUCUAUUUGUAUAACGAGACUAACUUACAGUUUGUUGGCACCAGCCAACCCAGAUAAGCAAUAAGUCCGGCCAGUACAUUGAAAAGACCGGUCCACAACCAUUUGCGCGUAGUCUUCAAUAUCAGGAAUAGCCCAAUAAAAGUGCCGAUUAUCUCGCUCAAGCCCGCCACAGCCGUGUUCACCUCGAGAUGCUCUCGACUGAACGAACGUAUGUUCAGCAGCAUGCCAUAGUACACGACAAUGUAGAGGGACCACGCUAAAUGUACACAAAUCAAAUUGCGCACGACAUUUUCACCCUUCCAUAUCGACCACCAGCCUGGCGGUGGCGGUGCGUCCAUAGCGGUUUGCGCCUGCAAUUGCAGCUGCUGAUCGAUGUCGUGCGGAAGACCGUAACGUGUGCCAUUCACCUCAACACAUUGCAUGAGAAUAUUUUUAGCGUCUAUUACACGACCACGUUGUAUCAUCCAGCGGGGUGAAUCGGGAAUCCAACUGUCAUGUAAAAAAAAUAUAAAAUAGUUUUACUACACCGACAUGUUCCAACUUACCGCCAUAAGUAUAUGAGUAUCACAGUGGGCCAAGAGAUGGCCAUAUAGAGAUGCGACCAGCUGGAGAAGAAACUUGCCACCCCGGGCAGUAGUAUAACACCUAUUGACCAGAACUGUUCAAAGAGUGUCGAAACGCAAGUCUUAUAAACGCCUCCCGUUAUAUCGGCCACUGUAGAAAUGAGAAAACGCAAAAGUGAGCUUGAGUAGCCUGCAAGAAGCUUACUAAACAUUUAACUUACUUAUUACACCGCCUGCUGUGUACAUCUGCGCACAACAUACCGCAGACAAGCAGCGAAAGAAAACGUGUAACUCGUAUGAGGCUACAAGUCCCGUCAGAUUGCCACAGAAUAUCUGCGAUACCAUGCCGAAGAGCAUCACAUUACGUGGACUGAAGCUGUGGGGAGGACAGUUAAUUAUAUUUAUCAUGUGAGCUGUGACGCCCAACAUGAUGUUAUCCUACCACGCUUUUAACCACGCACCAACUCACCACGCACUUUCGGACGCGUGCUUAAUUUUGCGAAAAUCUCCAGAGGGUGCAUAAUUAAAUUUUCGUGGACGGAACUAUAAAGUUUGUAUUGCGUUUACAACUUUUAUUAAGGAAAAUAUGAACUUCAUUUAAAUAUAAGCGUUUUAUGUUGUUUAAGAUAUUUAAAAUGGUUUACAUACUACUUUCGUUUAAAUUAUUUUAGUAGUGGAGUGCUUAACGGCCAACACAUUUUAAAAUUUCUAAGUUUGCUAUUAAUGUUUUUCAACUGUAAAAACAAGAGGGUUUAAGAGAAUAUUUUUGGAAUUUUGUUCGUUAGCGGCGAAGUGAUAAUCUCUAAAAAUUGUAUAUUAAAUUCACAGGCUAAGUUAAUAGUUAAUAAAAAUAAUUGCAAUUAACAGAGAAAUCGGGAAAGGCCAAUUGGAGUACUGCAUCGUCGAGAAACGAUUAAAAAUCAUUGCGGACCUGACAGCAGCGAUUAAUAUUUAUAAUUUGACUAAAGAACCUAAAUAAAUAAAAAUAGAAAUAAGGAUGAAAAGCAUAAAUACGAACUAACACUUUUGGUGUUAUGAACUACAUGGAAGGCUAAUAACCUUUUUAACGCUAAUAAAAUCGUAUCUGUUAUUGCCAAACUUUAUCAAAAAGGUAACAAA